rnacentral:rRNA from 1 species
AGAGAGAGACAUGCGCGCAUAUCAAUAAGCGGAGGAAAAGAAACUAACUAGGAUUCCCUCAGUAACGGCGAGUGAGGCGGGAAGAGCUCAAAUUUGAAAUCUUCAAGGUUCUACCUUGACGAAUUGUAGUUUAAAGAAGUGUUUUCUGUUGGAGUUUUGGUAAAAGUUCUUUGGAAUAGGACAUCAUAGAGGGUGAGAAUCCCGUAUUUGACCAUUAUUUCCAGCUUUGUGAUACACUUUCAAAGAGUCGGAUUGUUUGGGAAUGCAGUCCAAAAUGGGUGGUAAAUUUCAUCUAAAGCUAAAUACUGGCGAGAGACCGAUAGCGAACAAGUACCGUGAGGGAAAGAUGAAAAGAACUUUGAAAAGAGAGUUAAACAGUACGUGAAAUUGUCAAAAGGGAAGCGUUUGACACCAGUGUUGUUUUCUCGAAAAUCAAUUAAAAAAGGCAGGAUUUUGUGUUGUAUUGACUUUAUCAGCUUUCUGCACUCUUUUCUUGUCUUUUUUAAUGCACUUUUCGUUUAACAAGUCAACAUCAAUUUCUUUUGUUGUAAAAGGGUCAUUGGAAGGUGGCUUUCUUUCGGAGAAAGUGUUUAUAGCCUUUGGCCUCUGCAAUCGGAGAGAUUGAGGUCUGCAGCGUAGAUCCUUCGGGGUUAGAUACAUUUGUGCUAAGUUAUAGCCUUUCAUAGACAACUUGUUGACUAUGAUCAGUCAUGUAGCUUACUCGCUUAUGCUAUUUUACCUACGCUUAGGAUGUUGAUGUGAUACUGCGAGCA